GGCUGGCGAGCACUGCAACUUGAUCCUUAGACCUCCUCGUCUAUCCAUCUCAACUCACAAUCUGACAUAUAUAGCUCGUGCCGGCAUUGCAGCCUGGCUGCUUGUUCUUGAUUAGUUUGUUCUUGGUCAGUUGCGAUCGCAAAUGGGGAGGCAGCCGUGCUGCGACAAGGUGGGGCUGAAGAAGGGGCCGUGGACAGCGGAGGAGGACCAGAAGCUCGUCAGCUUCAUCCUCGGCAACGCCCAGUGCUGCUGGCGCGCCGUGCCAAAGCUCGCCGGGCUGCUGCGGUGCGGGAAGAGCUGCCGGCUGCGGUGGACGAACUACCUGCGGCCGGACCUCAAGAGGGGGCUGCUCUCCGACGCCGAGGAGAAGCUCGUCAUCGACCUACAUGCCCAGCUGGGCAACAGGUGGUCGAAGAUCGCGUCGCACCUGCCAGGACGGACGGACAACGAGAUCAAGAACCACUGGAACACCCACAUCAAGAAGAAGCUUAAGAAGAUGGGGAUUGACCCUCUCACCCACAAGCCUCUCUCACCCUCUCCGCCGCCGUCGCAGCAGCAAGACCGGUGUCCGCCGCCCAUCAGCCACUCGCCGGAAGCACGGGCACCAUCAUCACCGGAGCAGAAGCGUCCUGAGAAGAACGAGGCGGCCGCGACCAGCCGAAACAACGACGAGGAGCUCCUCCUCAGCAAGUCGUCGCCUGGCUUCUGCACCGAUGAGGUGCCGAUGAUUCACCCGGACGAGAUCAUUGUGCCACUGUGCGACCAGGGGCUGACAUUACCAACGCCGACGACACUGACCACGUCUUACUCUGCCUCGACGUCGUCAAGCUGCGACGAGGAGACGCCGUUCCCCAUCAUGGAGUGGCCGGAUACCAUGUUCAUGAUGGGGCUGGACGACAUGAUCGCGCCGUGGGACGACUGCUUUGUGCAGCCACCGCCGCCGCGGUCGCCGGUGUACGACGACACCUUAGUGCCACCAACAACCACCGGUCAACGCCCGUAGCUUCUACGUUGCGGGUCAUAUGCUGCUAACAUUGGUAGCAAAGGAUAUGAAAUCCCUAGAUGAAUUCAGCUUAGCGGAUGGCAACAUCGAUGAGUCUUCACUCUUCAACAUUCGAGGACAAAUCGCCUCAUUCAUAAUGAUCAAAGUCAUAUCUUCGAAAGGCGAGUUCCAUUGUCGGGAGGCGGCAUGCUGACUUAUGUAAUUUGUGGUUCU